rnacentral:lncRNA from 1 species
UGUCUCAGGGUUAUUGCUGUCUAACCUUCAUGAAGUGAAAUUUCCAUUUCCUCAAGAAGUACCUGCAAAAAUUUAGAGGAAAAUAAAAAUAAUACUGGUCCAUUGAUAGAUCUACAAGUCUACUAUGUAAUCAAAGGUAACAAAGAUCUUCAGAGAUUCACUGAGACUAUUCUUGUAUCACUUUUUAUUACGUCCAUGGAAGAGCUUGCCUUGUGUGAGUUCUCAAUA